rnacentral:rRNA from 1 species
AACGAACGCUGGCGGCAGGCCUAACACAUGCAAGUCGAACGCUGUAGCAAUACAGAGUGGCAGACGGGUGAGUAACGCGUGGGAACCUUCCCAAUGGUACGGAAUAGCCCAGGGAAACUUGGGGUAAUACCGUAUACGCCCCUAGGGGGAAAGAUUUAUCGCCAUUGGAUGGGCCCGCGUCGGAUUAGCUAGUUGGUGAGGUAAUGGCUCACUAAGGCAACGAUCCGUAGCUGGUUUGAGAGAAUGACCAGCCACACUGGGACUGAGACACGGCCCAGACGCCUACGGGAGGCAGCAGUGGGGAAUCUUGGACAAUGGGCGCAAGCUUGAUCCAGCCAUGCCGCGUGAGUGACGAAGGCCUUAGGGUUGUAAAGCUCUUUUGCCGGGGACGAUAAUGACGGUACCCGGAGAAUAAGUCCCGGCUAACUUCGUGCCAGCCGCCGCAGUAA